AAAUUCAUACCUCUUCCUCUUGAGACAACUGCUUCUCUCAGUCGAUGUGUUUCGUCUGAUCGAGUCUUCAGAUUCAACUACAUUUACUAAGAGAAGCAG